AUUGAACGCUGGCGGCAGGCCUAACACAUGCAAGUCGAACGAGUCGAGGACGGGUGCGUAAUGUCCGGGAAACUGCCUGAUCGAGGGGGAUAACUACUGGAAACGGUAGCUAAUACCGCAUACCAUCGGAUGUGCCCAGAUGGGAUUAGCUAGUAGGUGGGGUAAAGGCUCACCUAGGCGACGAUCCCUAGCUGGUCUGAGAUGAUAACCAGCCACACUGGAACUUGGACACGAGCCAGACUCCGACGGGAGGCAGCAUUGGGGAAUUUUGCACAAUGGGCGCAAGUCUGGUGCAGCCAUGCCGCGGGUAUGAAGAAGGCCUUCGGGUUGUAAAGUACUGUCAGCGGAGGAGCAUUACCAACAGAAGAAGCGCCGGAUAACUCCAUGCCAGCAGCCGCGGUAAUAC
rnacentral:rRNA from 1 species